AGUAUUGAGUAGUAUUUAUUUUAUACUUCUAGGGACUAGGAGAGAAGUCUGUCCUGAGGUUUUAUUGACUGGUAAAUGGUGGAGCAUUUGUUUUAUAGGUAGAUGGUCUUCUAAAUCAUAUAUGAAACAUUGUACUAUUAGCCUAUGAAAAUAUAAUAGUAAAUUGUUUGAAAUAUAUAUAGGAGCAGUUCUAAUGAAAGUUAUACUACUGAAGGGAUCACAAUUGCAGAAAUUAGCAUUUUUUUUGCACUAUCCUAUUUCGGGGUAGACCCGACAUAUCUGUACUGUUUUUGGAAUAUAAGAGGACUGACAGGCAAUCUUACUUGACGUUGUACUUUGAUUACCAUAGUGGAUCCAUUAAUGAUUAUCUGAAAGAUGACAAAUUAUUUUUAUGCUCUCCCUAGUGCCUCAAGGAAGCAUGUACUAAGGCAUCCUUCAGGUUACUGUUUUGUAUCACUACUUCUGUUUCCAUAAAGGCCUUCGGUUCUUAGUUCCAUUAGAAUUUCACAAGAAAAAUGUUUUGAAAUUGCCUCCUCAUUUCAAGAACUGUUUUCUUCCAAAACAAAAUGUUUUCAUCCAUUUUCUACUGCAUGUAUCUUAUGAAACUGCUUAUAACAUAUUUUAAGUCAGAAAACCAGAGAAGCAAGUUCUUAUUUUCUGGGUUUUAAUACCCUAAAUUGUAUAUCCCAAGAAUAGAAACAAAACCCGAGAAACGUAUAUUCCAUGGAAGGUUGCAAUUUUUUGUCGGAUGCAGAUUAACCUGUUAGUAUGCAAGGAAAUGUAACGGAGCGAAGCUUGCUUUCUGAGACAGAGUGAACAGCCACAUAUUUGAUAACGAUAUAUGCUUUUACAUAUUUGAUAUGAUAAUAUGGCCUUUUUUCUGCCAUAGGGUCGGUUUGAGAUAAUUUCAUUAUCUGGUUCUUAUAUACAUACUGAAAUUGGGGGGAGGACUGGUGGGCUUAGUGUAUGUCUCGCCAGUACAGAUGGCCAGAUCAUUGGUGGUGGAGUUGGUGGACUACUGAAGGCUGCAGGCCCAGUUCAGGUUAUUAUUGGUUCAUUUUUUGUUGACUCAAAGAAGGAUGUCAGUUUCAGCGGAAAAGGUGAUUCUUGUGGCGCGAAGUUACCUUCCCCAGUUGGUGCAUCACUAUCAGGUGUUGGAUUCCUAUCCACUGUUGACUCUAUUGGAAGGAAUCCGGUCAGGGAAGCCGAUGAUCAUCAUAAUCAGACCAUGGGGGGAAAUCAUUUCAUGAUUCAACCUCGGGGUUUACAAAUGACUCCCCCGGAAUGGGGAGGUAGUCCUGAUGGUAGAGGUGCUAUCGGUUACGACUUGACAGGUAGACUCACACCCUCAGAGAGAGAACGAGAGAUAGACCGGAUGUUCUGAGGUAGAAAACAUCGCCUUCUGCAGGAAGUAACAGGUUGUGGUCCUUAUCAAUCUUCGGAAAAUGGGGAAUACGAUCAUAUGGCAGAUUAGAAAUUGAUUCUGGAGUAUGACAGAAAACUGUUUUUGACUGUAGGUAAUUUGCCAGUUUUACAAUAGUAAGUUAGAUGUGAAAUUCCUUGCACCUCUAGUGGAGUGUAAUAUGUAUAUAUUGCUGUACAGAUUACCAGCAUUGCUCUUUUAGGGAUGUUAUUCAAAGCAGACACCACCGAAUUAUUGCUCUAAGAAUCUGAUCCUUUUGAGGGCUGAAAAAUUUCACUCGUUCAUGGGCAUAAAUAUUGAUAUGUUUUGGGAAUUAGAAAAUCCCGGAUCAGAGACUUGCUCAUCCUAAACAUAAUACACAUGGGUUUCUUCUUCAACC